rnacentral:rRNA from 1 species
CGGAACGUGCCAUUGAGUGGGGGAUAACGUAGCGAAAGUUGCGCUAAUACCGCAUAUUCUGUGAGCAGGAAAGCAGGGGACCGCAAGGCCUUGCGCUCUUUGAGCGGCCGAUGUUAGAUUAGCUAGUUGGUGAGGUAAAGGCUUACCAAGGCGACGAUCUGUAGCGGGUCUGAGAGGAUGAUCCGCCACACUGGAACUGAGACACGGUCCAGACUCCUACGGGAGGCAGCAGUGGGGAAUUUUGGACAAUGGGGGCAACCCUGAUCCAGCCAUGCCGCGUGAGUGAAGAAGGCCUUCGGGUUGUAAAGCUCUUUCGGCCGGGAAGAAAUCGCAUGGGCCAAUACCCUGUGUGGAUGACGGUACCGGAAUAAGAAGCACCGGCUAACUACGUGCCAGCAGCCGCGGUAAUACGUAGGGUGCGAGCGUUAAUCGGAAUUACUGGGCGUAAAGCGUGCGCAGGCGGUUUUGUAAGACAGGCGUGAAAUCCCCGGGCUUAACCUGGGAACUGCGUUUGUGACUGCAAGGCUAGAGUACGGCAGAGGGGGGUGGAAUUCCACGUGUAGCAGUGAAAUGCGUAGAGAUGUGGAGGAACACCAAUGGCGAAGGCAGCCCCCUGGGUCGAUACUGACGCUCAUGCACGAAAGCGUGGGUAGCAAACAGGAUUAGAUACCCUGGUAGUCCACGCCCUAAACUAUGUCAACUAGGUGUUGGGUGGGUAAAACCAUUUAGUACCGUAGCUAACGCGUGAAGUUGACCGCCUGGGGAGUACGGCCGCAAGGUUAAAACUCAAAGGAAUUGACGGGGACCCGCACAAGCGGUGGAUGAUGUGGAUUAAUUCGAUGCAACGCGAAAAACCUUACCUACCCUUGACAUGCCAGGAACUUGCCAGAGAUGGCUUGGUGCCCGAAAGGGAGCCUGGACACAGGUGCUGCAUGGCUGUCGUCAGCUCGUGUCGUGAGAUGUUGGGUUAAGUCCCGCAACGAGCGCAACCCUUGUCGUUAAUUGCCAUCAUUUAGUUGGGCACUUUAACGAGACUGCCGGUGACAAACCGGAGGAAGGUGGGGAUGACGUCAAGUCCUCAUGGCCCUUAUGGGUAGGGCUUCACACGUCAUACAAUGGUCGGUACAAAGGGUUGCCAAGCCGCGAGGCGGAGCCAAUCCCAGAAAGCCGAUCGUAGUCCGGAUUGCAGGCUGCAACUCGCCUGCAUGAAGUCGGAAUCGCUAGUAUCGUGGAUCAGCAUGUCACGGUGAAUACGUUCCCGGGUCUUGUACACACCGCCCGUCACACCAUGGGAGCGGGUUCCGCCAGAAGUAGGUAGCCUAACCGCAAGGGGGGCGCUUACCACGGCGGGGUUCGUGACUGGGGUGAAGUCGUAACAAGGUA